UACGUAGGGGGCAAGCGUUGUCCGGAUUUACUGGGCGUAAAGAGCGUGUAGGCGGCCAAGCAGGUCCGUUGUGAAAACUGGAGGCUUAACCUCCAGACGUCGACGGAAACCGCGUGGCUAGAGUCCGGAAGAGGAGAGUGGAAUUCCUGGUGUAGCGGUGAAAUGCGCAGAUAUCAGGAGGAACACCUGCGGUGUAGACGGCUUACUGGACCAUAACUGACGCUGAGGCACGAAAGCGUGGGUAGCAAACAGG
rnacentral:rRNA from 1 species